rnacentral:rRNA from 1 species
CGGCGUUGCGGCAUGCUUAACAUGCAAGUCGAACGGCAGCACGGGAGCAAUCCUGGUGGCGAGUGGCGAACGGGUGAGUAACAUAUCGGAACGUGCCCAGUCGUGGGGGAUAACGUAGAGAAAUUUACGCUAAUACCGCAUACGAUCUAAGGAUGAAAGCGGGGGACUCUGUAAAGGGCCUCGCGCGAUUGGAGCGGCUGAUAUCAGAUUAGGUUGUUGGUGAGGUAAAAGCUCACCAAGCCGACGAUCUGUAGCUGGUUUGAGAGAACGACCAGCCACACUGGGACUGAGACACGGCCCAGACUCCUACGGGAGGCAGCAGUGGGGAAUUUUGGACAAUGGGCGAAAGCCUGAUCCAGCAAUGCCGCGUGCAGGAAGAAGGCCUUCGGGUUGUAAACUGCUUUUGUACGGAACGAAAAGGUCUGCCCUAAUACGGCGGGCCCAUGACGGUACCGUAAGAAUAAGCACCGGCUAACUACGUGCCAGCAGCCGCGGUAAUACGUAGGGUGCGAGCGUUAAUCGGAAUUACUGGGCGUAAAGCGUGCGCAGGCGGUGAUGUAAGACAGUUGUGAAAUCCCCGGGCUCAACCUGGGAAUUGCAUCUGUGACUGCAUCGCUAGAGUACGGUAGAGGGGGAUGGAAUUCCGCGUGUAGCAGUGAAAUGCGUAGAUAUGCGGAGGAACACCGAUGGCGAAGGCAAUCCCCUGGACCUGUACUGACGCUCAUGCACGAAAGCGUGGGGAGCAAACAGGAUUAGAUACCCUGGUAGUCCACGCCCUAAACGAUGUCAACUGGUUGUUGGGUGCAUUAGUACUCAGUAACGAAGCUAACGCGUGAAGUUGACCGCCUGGGGAGUACGGCCGCAAGGUUGAGACUCAAGGAGUUGACGGGACCCGCACAAGCGGUGGGAUGAUGGUGGGUUUAAUUCGAUGCAACGCGAAAAACCUUUACCUACCCUUUGACAUGUACGGACGUCGGCAGAGAUGGCUUUGUGCUCGAAAGAUAACCGUAACACAGGUGCUGCAUGGCCUGUCGUCAGCUCGUGUCGUGAGAUGUUGGGAUAAGUACCGGCAACGAGCGCGACGCUUGUCAUACUGCGUACAUUUAGGUGGGUCACUCUAUGGAACUGGCGGUGACAACCGGACGCACGUGCGAUACGUCAAGGUCUCAUGCUUAUCGUUAGGCUACGUCGUCUACAUGCAUGUACAGGUAGCGACUCGUAAGGUGCAAUCAAUCCGAUUAGAGGCCAGAUCGUA